AUGCAAAUGCAAAUUAGUUAUUUAAAUAAAAAUAUUUUAAUAAGUAAAGAAAAUAUAAACAAGGUAUUACUAAAAUUUAUUGUUAGUAUAUCUGUAAAAAAAAAUAGCAAAGUAUCAUUUUUUUAUGUUAUUUAUAAGUUUAAUAAUUUAAAAUUGUUGUCAUAUUUAGAUAUAUAUACUUGUAAAAUAAAUAAAUAUGAAACUAAUUAUUAUAACAAAAAUAUACAAAUAGAAAAGAAAAAAAAAAGUUCUAAUAAAAAUUUGAAGAAUGCUCAAAUGGAUUAUAAAUGUAUAAAAGAGAUUGGUCCUUUUAACAAAUUUUCUUUGACAACUUUUAUUAUGAAAGUCAACUUAAGUUGGGAACAGCAGCCGGAACAGCAGCCGGAACAACAGCCGGAACAGCAGUCGGAACAACAGCAACAACUGGAACAGCAGCAAAAGCAGAGUGAAACAUACGAAUGCGAUUAUUUAUUUUUGGUUGUGCCCAAAAAAAUGAAAGCACUGUAUGAACAAGAUUUAAAUCUUGACAUAAGUGCAAGUUUACCAAAUAACCAUACGAAUGACUUUGUUAAACAAAAAGCGGACGAAACAGUACCUACUACUGUUACUUCUACUUCUACCAGUAACAACAAUAUUGCGAUACAUGAAGUGCCAUCUUUUUUUAAAAAUUAUACCUUAACGUAUUACGAUAAUAUAUUGUAUUAUUAUAGUAUAAAUAAUGAAAAAAAAAAACAGAACGUUAAUAAUAGUAGUUCUUAUAACAGUAUAAAUGAUGAUACUGUGAGUUUAAAAAAUAUAAAAAACCAAACAAAUGAUGAAAUAAAAAAUAAUUGUACUAAUGGUGCAAUUGGCACUAAUGCGGAUAAACUUACUAAUAUUAUAGCGAACGAAUUGCCUAAUAAAAACAAACUAGAUUAUACAAAAAACAUGCAGUCAAAUAGUGAUAAUUUGAAACAGAUUAUUAACAGGAAAACGGAAAAUAAUAAUAUUUUAGGAGGAUGCGUAAAAAAAGUAAUUAAUUUAUUUCCUAACGGUAUUUAUAAUAAAAUAAAUGUUUUUAAAUUAGUAAAAAAAAUUGUUAUAAAUAAUAAAAAUAAUUAUACUUAUGGUAGUAUAUUUGUACAAUUAGAAAAUUAUAAAAAAUUUAAAAAUAUGAAAAUAAAAAUUAUAAAAAUAAAAAAAAAGAGCAAAGAUGAUAAUAUUAAUAAUUAUAGUAACCUAGACUUUAUUAUAACAAAUAGAGAAAAAGAAGUAAUUUUAAAAAAAAAAAAAAAAAAAAAUGCUUUUUUUAAGCAUGUAGAGUUUAGUAAGGAAUACUUAUAUUUUUUACAAGUAGUGGUGAAGAAGGAUUUGAGGCAAAUAGUUCGUGAUAAGUCUGCACAUGCUACCGCUACUACCACUACCAUUGCCAACAUCAGCCAGAACGACAACAAUUCAACCUUUUUAAACGGACACAAAAACACUUUUUCAGACAUAAGUAUAAACAUUUUUUUUAAAUUUUACUGCAGAGGUUGCAUUAAUAGAUGA
rnacentral:lncRNA from 1 species